AGCUUUGCACAGUGGCAGUAUCGUAGCCAAUGAGGUGUGAUUACUGCUAAUUGAAAAUUUCUCUCAGGAAAACAAAAACAAAAAACAAAACCCCAAACUGUCUAACCUGGGCAGGUUGAUAAGGUUUGUCUGGCCAGAAUGGGU